CCAGUGACUGAGCUGGAGCCA
rnacentral:miRNA from 1 species